CAUGGAUCAGAAGGAGGAACUGCGGUUGUCCCGGCCCCGCUCCUGCGAAGGGAAGAGUGCUCUGAGCGGCACCUCAGCACUCAUUGAUGCUUGACUGGCUGUGUUGUGUGCCUAGGAGCUGCAGUUUUCAUCCAGCUGCUCAGACUCCAAGGUGCUAUUCCUGAAUGAUAUCAAGAACAUCCUAGGCCCAGCCUGGUCUGAAGAUGGGAUUGUGAGCACAAAUGAAGAGAAUGACCAUCAAGGCAUCCCCA